CUACGGGCUGCACCAGUGGGGAAUAUUGCACAAUGGGCGCAAGCCUGAUGCAGCCAUGCCGCGUGUAUGAAGAAGGCCUUCGGGUUGUAAAGUACUUUCAGCGGGGAGGAAGGGAGUAAAGUUAAUACCUUUGCUCAUUGACGUUACCCGCAGAAGAAGCACCGGCGAACUCCGUGCCAGGCAGCCGCGGUAAUACGGAGGGUGCAAGCGUUAAUCGGAAUUACUGGGCGUAAAGCGCACGCAGGCGGUUUGUUAAGUCAGAUGUGAAAUCCCCGGGCUCAACCUGGGAACUGCAUCUGAUACUGGCAAGCUUGAGUCUCGUAGAGGGGGGUAGAAUGCCAGGUGUAGCGGUGAAAUGCGUAGAGAUCUGGAGGAAUACCGGUGGCGAAGGCGGCCCCCUGGACGAAGACUGACGCUCAGGUGCGAAAGCGUGGGGAGCAAACAGGAUUAGAUACCCCGGUAGUC
rnacentral:rRNA from 1 species